rnacentral:rRNA from 1 species
UGGGGAAUAUUGGACAAUGGGCGCAAGCCUGAUCCAGCCAUGCCGCGUGAGUGAUGAAGGCCCUAGGGUUGUAAAGCUCUUUUGUGCGGGAAGAUAAUGACGGUACCGCAAGAAUAAGCCCCGGCUAACUUCGUGCCAGCAGCCGCGGUAAUAGCAGUCCAG